rnacentral:lncRNA from 1 species
CCAGAUGAAAAAAAUUAAAAGAAAAUAAUUGUUUGUUAGGAAAAUGUUUUUUUUAUGUACAACAAAAUGAAAAUCUUUUUACAUUGAUAUUUUCUGCUGUUUACACUUUGGACAACAAUAUUUCAGUUACAACAUCUCAGAAAAAACUAUAGUGUUUGUAAAUGUUUGUAAAAAUUUUAAAUAAUACAAAAAAGUAUAUCAUUAUGCGAGUUUCAUAAAAUUAUUCUUUAGAAGGAGAAGCACAACAUAAUCCAUUGAUUACAUUCCAUAAGGAUUUAAAAGACAAGAAAAUUGUAUACACAAGAUUGCCAAAAACAUAAAAGUGAUGAAAUAAAGGAAUUUUCAGUUUUUACUGGGACCAAUAGAUAUAUUAGUCCCAGGUAUAGUUGAUAUUUGCCCGCUCAACACCAUCAAUGGCUAACUUAGAUAUUAUAUAAAUAAUUUUGACUGUUGUUUUGUUAUUAAUGUCUGAUCGUAAAAAGAAUAAUAGAACAUAUAAAAUGUCAAAAGAUAAUGUCACAUGUACUUUAGAAGGUAAUUAAUUUGGUAUUCGUAUCCAAUCACAACAUUGUUUAUAUUAGAUAUGAAUAUAUUAAGUUGUAAAUAUUUAUGGUAUUUAUUACACUUAUUUGGAUAAACAACAUAUAAAUGUAUGAACUGUAAAAUGGCAUAUGAUAAUUGUCAUUAAUUAUGUAAAUAAUAUGUUAAGGAGAUGUCCUUAUCUAACUUCCAGGCUAAUAAUGUAAGGAAUAAGACGAAUAAGAAAUGUCUAAAUUAAAAUGUUGUUGUUUUUAUUUUUGUUAUCAUCUCAAUGAUUGUUAGAACUGUUGUAAUGUUGAUGACUUAAAAUCCAAGCUGGGUUUUCUUGAAAACUUUAGAUUUUCUUUUUCUUUUUUGAAAGAUUAUAAGGUAUCACUUAUUAAAUAUAGUUCUUCCUAGAUCUGUUUACCAAUCAAUCAUUUCUAUAUGACAGUUAUAAAACCACUUGUCAUUUGAAUACCAGGAACAAACAAAUCAGGGAAUACAUAGAAUCUCAAGUAAAUAGGGUUUAUUUUAAUGGUUAUAGAUUCUAACUUCCUUUUUUUUUCUAAGCUUUAAAAAAUUAUGACAGAAAAAGGUUGUUCUAUAGUAUUUGCCAUAGUUUUUGUCUAGUUUAGACAGAUAUUUAUAAUCCUUUUAUAAAACAUUGUAUUUUUGUUUGGCAGCCAUGCCUGAGUAUUGUCUGUACAAACUUCUUAUAAGGAUUAAUUUUGAAUCCAUGUCAUUUAAGUAAAAUAAAUUCUGUUAAAAAAAAAUAUAUCAGGUCAUUGACUAUACAUUGUACAUGAUGAAACUUGCCUCAAUUUUGAAUAUUUUAUUUCGUAAAUAAAGAUUGUGAUAUUGUUUAAUUUGUUAAUAUAUUAUUUAUUAAAAUUUUAUAUUUUAUGAUUUGUUUUACUGUAGUCUGUGAUUAUUAUAUUCCUCUGUGAUUUAUAUAUGACUAACAUGUCUCAAAGUAUAACAUACUUAUUUGCGUAGAAGCCUCUGUGAUUAUCUGCUUUAUAUAUGAAGGUACAGUUUGUACGGGAAUUUUAAAAUGCUAAGGCCAAAACACUUAACUUUGAGUUUUUGGAUAAUUUUAAUGUUUUUGGACCUUCUGAAAUAGGGCAUUAUUAAAGAUUUAAAUUUCAAUUCAUAUAAAUUAUAUAAGACUUUCUGUACAGGAUGGAAGAUUAAAAUAUGAUACUAUAAUUAGAAUUUACGAUUAAGCCAUACUAUAAUUAGAAUUUACGAUUAAGCCAUACUAAUUUAUAUAUGUUGGUUUAUUUUCUUUUAAAUGUGAAAAUUUAUCAGAAACGAAGAAUCUUGAGUUGCAAAUUUCCAAUUAUUUACUAAUUCAACAGACUUAAAAUUAUUUUGAUUAUGCCUUUACAAUAUAAUUUAUAAAAUUGUCAGAUUAAUUUGAUUAUACUUCACUAUAAAGAAUACUAAAUGCUUUUUCUUUUUUUUUAAUAUUUUAUACUUUCACAUUUAUAAAUUUAUAAAUAUAUAUGUAAGCAGUUUGUAUUUUUAAGUUAUAUUUUACAUGUUGCACAUAAAACAUGCCGGCAGAUUUAACAAGUAUGUUAGCAGUCACAAAUAUUUCUCAUAGUGAAAACCAUAUCCAGAUUUGAUAAUUUUGUGAAAUAAAAAAAAGGGGAGAUAAUUUAAAUUAAAAAAAAUCAACUUAUGAGUAGAAAUGAGCAUCUUAGUUCAAUAUUAUAAGAAAAUUUAGAAAUUUUAGAAAAUAGAUGUGAAUUUGGUAUUUGCUUUUCAAUACAAAGAUGAGGGGGAAUAAAUUUAUGAUCUCUUAUUACAUUUAAAUAUUUUAUUUUUUUUCUGAAUAUGGUUACUUUAGAAAACUUAGAGACAAAACAUUGAAUUGAAAGCAAUCAGAUUGUUAUACUAGUUGUAAUAUUAUUGACCAAAGACUAACUGCAUGAUUAGCUCAGGUGCUUUUACAGUAGUGCAAAUCAAAGGACAAAAUAGAAUAAAGUAAUGUCUAGUC